UCCGGUUGAUCCUGCCGGCGGUCACCGCUAUUGGGGUUCGAUUAAGACAUGCGAGUCGAGAGGGUUCGGCCCUCGGCGGACGGCUCAGUAACACGUGGAUAACCUGCCCUCAGGUGGGGGAUAAUCUCGGGAAACUGAGGCUAAUACCCCAUAGGUCAUGGACGCUGGAAUGCCCCAUGACUGAAAGCUCCGGCGCCUGAGGAUGGGUCUGCGGCCUAUCAGGUAGUAGUUGGGGUAACGGCCCAACUAGCCUAAAACGGGUACGGGCCCUGAGCGGGGGAGCCCGGAGAUGGACUCUGAGACACGAGUCCAGGCCCUACGGGGCGCAGCAGUCGCGAAAACUUCACACUGCGGGAAACCGUGAUGAGGGAACCCCAAGUGCCCAGGCGUUAGUCUGGGCUGUUCACAUGCCUAAAAAGCAUGUGAAGUAAGGGCUGGGUAAGACCGGUGCCAGCCGCCGCGGUAAUACCGGCAGCCCGAGUGGUGACCCCUAUUAUUGAGCCUAAAACGUCCGUAGCCGGCCCGGCAAAUCUCUGGUUAAAUCGGGCAGCUUAACUGUUCGACUUCCAGAGAGACUACCGGGCUUGGGACCGGGAGAGGCCAGAGGUAC
rnacentral:rRNA from 1 species